AAACCCAACCCAUAUUUCAUAAAAAGUCAAAAAGUGCACUUAUUUAGUCUUCCCAAACUAGGCCUAAAUGUCUUCCUGGAUUACAGGUGGCCUCCCGGAUGGUGUCAGCCUUCUCUAGAUGGAAGCGAUAUGAUGAAACCCGACAAAGCCUUGCUAAGGCGCAGUUGGAGAUGAUCAUGUCGGCCAAUGGACUUUCAGAAAAUGUGUUUGAAAUUGCCUCGAAAAGCUUGGCUGCUUAGAAAAGGGUGGUUUUUACCUGUUUAUUAUACAAGAGGGCAAGAAUCUAAGCUUGUGUGUUUUCGCUUCAACUAGUAGUCACAGAGAGAUACUAAACCAUAUUAUAACAUUUCUUGUGAGAUUUAAUAAAUAUAUGUUUUGGAAUCAACAAAUUGGAGUGCUUCUUUUGUAAGAUGAUGACCAUUCAAAAUUUCAGUGCACUUCACGCAGUUGCUUGUUUUUCCUUUUUA